rnacentral:rRNA from 1 species
GACGAACGCUGGCGGCGUGCUUAACACAUGCAAGUCGAACGGAAAGGCCCUGCUUUUGUGGGGUGCUCGAGUGGCGAACGGGUGAGUAACACGUGAGUAACCUGCCCUUGACUUUGGGAUAACUUCAGGAAACUGGGGCUAAUACCGGAUAGGAGCUCCUGCUGCAUGGUGGGGGUUGGAAAGUUUCGGCGGUUGGGGAUGGACUCGCGGCUUAUCAGCUUGUUGGUGGGGUAGUGGCUUACCAAGGCUUUGACGGGUAGCCGGCCUGGGAGGGUGACCGGCCACAUUGGUACUGAGAUACGGCCCAGACUCCUACGGGAGGCAGCAGUGGGGAAUAUUGCACAAUGGGCGGAAACCUGAUGCAGCAACGCCGCGUGCGGGAUGACGGCCUUCGGGUUGUAAACCGCUUUCGCCUGUGACGAAGCGUGAGUGACGGUAAUGGGUAAAGAAGCACCGGCUAACUACGUG